rnacentral:rRNA from 1 species
GACGAACGCUGGCGGCGUGCCUAAUACAUGCAAGUCGAGCGGACUUAUGGGAGCUUGCUCCUUAAAGUCAGCGGCGGACGGGUGAGUAACACGUGGGCAACCUGCCUGUAAGACUGGGAUAACUUCGGGAAACCGGAGCUAAUACCGGAUAGGUUCUUCCCCCGCAUGGGGGAAGAUGGAAAGACGGUUUCGGCUGUCACUUACAGAUGGGCCCGCGGCGCAUUAGCUAGUUGGUGGGGUAAUGGCUCACCAAGGCGACGAUGCGUAGCCGACCUGAGAGGGUGAUCGGCCACACUGGGACUGAGACACGGCCCAGACUCCUACGGGAGGCAGCAGUAGGGAAUCUUCCGCAAUGGACGAAAGUCUGACGGAGCAACGCCGCGUGAGCGAAGAAGGCCUUCGGGUCGUAAAGCUCUGUUGUCAGGGAAGAACAAGUGCUAGAGUAACUGCUGGCACCUUGACGGUACCUGACCAGAAAGCCACGGCUAACUACGUGCCAGCCGCCGCCGUAAGAC